UACGUAGGUGACCAGCGUUGUCCGGAUUUACUGGGCGUAAAGAGCGCGCAGGCGGUCGUUCAAGUCGAGUGUGAAAGCCCCCGGCUCAACUGGGGAGGGUCAUUCGAUACUGAUCGACUCGAAGGCAGGAGAGGGAAGCGGAAUUCCCGGUGUAGUGGUGAAAUGCGUAGAUAUCUGGAGGAAUACCGGUGGCGAAGGCGGCAUCCUGGACCAUUACUGACGCUGAGGCGCGAAAGCUAGGGGAGCAAACGGG
rnacentral:rRNA from 1 species